CAAGGGCAAUUCCUUUCUCGUUGAGUCAGCAUAGUUUUGCCCAUUUAAAGUCGAGUUUCCAUCCCUUCAAGAUGUUUUCUAUCGUAGUUGCACCCAAAAGGCUCUAUGAAAGAAAUGAAGGUUUUUCGCAUACAAGAUAAAAGUGAGAAAUCUUAUCUAUAAAAACAUUGAUUCUGAUCGAAAGGGUUCAGAUUAAAAAAAAAUCCAAAUCAAAAACAAAAAAAAAAGAAAAAAUCAAAGUCAAAAGAAAAAAAAGAGAAAUCAAUUAAA
rnacentral:lncRNA from 1 species